rnacentral:rRNA from 1 species
GAUGAACGCUGGCGGCGUGCCUAAUACAUGCAAGUCGAGCGAACAGACGAGGAGCUUGCUCCUCUGACGUUAGCGGCGGACGGGUGAGUAACACGUGGAUAACCUACCUAUCAGACUGGGAUAACUUCGGGAAACCGGAGCUAAUACCGGAUAAUAUAUUGAACCGCAUGGUUCAAUAGUGAAAGACGGUUUUGCUGUCACUUAUAGAUGGAUCCGCGCCGCAUUAGCUAGUUGGUAAGGUAACGGCUUACCAAGGCAACGAUGCGUAGCCGACCUGAGAGGGUGAUCGGCCACACUGGAACUGAGACACGGUCCAGGCUCCUACGGGAGGCAGCAGUAGGGAAUCUUCCGCAAUGGGCGAAAGCCUGACGGAGCAACGCCGCGUGAGUGAUGAAGGUCUUCGGAUCGUAAAACUCUGUUAUUAGGGAAGAACAAAUGUGUAAGUAACUAUGCACGUCUUGACGGUACCUAAUCAGAAAGCCACGGCUAACUACGUG